rnacentral:rRNA from 1 species
GAUGAACGCUAGCGGCAGGCCUAACACAUGCAAGUCGAGGGGUAUAAGUCUUCGGACUUUGAGACCGGCGCACGGGUGCGUAACGCGUAUGCAAUCUACCUUGUACAGAGGGAUAGCCCAGAGAAAUUUGGAUUAAUACCUCAUAGUAUAUUUGAAUGGCAUCAUUUAAAUAUUAAAGUUCCAACGGUACAAGAUGAGCAUGCGUCCCAUUAGUUAGUUGGUGUGGUAACGGCACACCAAGACGAUGAUGGGUAGGGGUCCUGAGAGGGAGAUCCCCCACACUGGUACUGAGACACGGAACAGACUCCUACGGGAGGCAGCAGUGAGGAAUAUUGGUCAAUGGAGGCAACUCCGAACCAGCCAUGCCGCGUGCAGGAUGACGGUCCUAUGGAUUGUAAACUGCUUUUAUACGGGAAGAAAAAGAGUUACGUGUAACUUAUUGACGGUACCGUAAGAAUAAGGAUCGGCUAACUCCGUGCCAGCAGCCGCCGUAA